rnacentral:sRNA from 1 species
CUAGAGCAUUGUGUGAACACUCCAAAGAACGCUGUGAGUCUGUUCUUGGGAUUGUGGGCCUACAGUGGCCUGAAGACACAGAUUGCAGUCAAUUUCCAGAGGAAAAUUCAGACAAUCAAACCUGCCUGAUGCCUGAUGAAUAUGUGGAAGGUUGUAAAGAGAGAGAUCUUUGGGAAUGUCCAUCCAAUAAACAAUGUUUGAAGCACACAGUGAUCUGCGAUGGGUUCCCAGACUGCCCUGAUUACAUGGACGAGAAAAACUGCUCAUUUUGCCAAGAUGAUGAGCUGGAAUGUGCAAACCACGCGUGUGUGUCACGUGACCUGUGGUGUGAUGGCGAAGCCGACUGCUCAGACAGUUCAGAUGAAUGGGACUGUGGUGAGCUACUUGUUUCUGCGAUCUGUUGUACUCUCUCAUGCCUGUCAGCCACUGAAGUUGAAUGAAUCCUAAAUUACUUCCUGGAUUUUACUGCCCAAGUUCAUCUAUUUUGUUUUACUGCUAUAAAAGCUGAUAGUGCUGAUCUAUGUGUGUUAUUUCCAACUCACAGAAAAUUUCCCCACCAAGCUACUUCUCUAUUUGAAAUAUCUAUAUUAUAUGGAAAAACGUUUGGGUUCAAAAUGUUGUAAUCAUAUAAUUGCUGGGAGAGGAUUUAAAAACUCUUCAUUAAAUCCCAACUUCAAUAA